CCUAUCCGUCGCGGGCGCAGGAAAUUUGAGAGGAGCUGUCCUUAGUACGAGAGGACCGGGAUGGACGCACCGCUGGUGUACCAGUUGUUCUGCCAAGGGCAUCGCUGGGUAGCUAUGUGCGGACGGGAUAAGUGCUGAAAGCAUCUAAGCAUGAAGCCCCCCUCAAGAUGAGAUUUCCCAUUCCGCAAGGAAGUAAGAUCCCUGAAAGAUGAUCAGGUUGAUAGGUCUGAGGUGGAAGUGUGGCGACACAUGGAGCUGACAGAUACUAAUCGAUCGAGGGCUUAACCAUAUUU
rnacentral:rRNA from 1 species